GAUGAACGCUGGCGGCGUGCCUAACACAUGCAAGUCGAGCGAACAGACGAGGAUUUUGCUCCUCUGACGUUAGCGGCGGACGGGUGUGUAACAUGUGUAUAAUCCACCUAUAUGUCUGGGAUAAUUUCGGGAAUCCGGAGCUAACACCGUAUAAUAUAUUGAACCGCAUGGUUCAAUAGUGAAAUACGGCUUUUGUGUCACUUCUAGAUGGAUCCGCGCCGCAUUAGCUAGUUGGUAAGGUAACGGCUUACCAAGGCAACGAUGCGUAGCCGAACUGAGAGGGGGAUCGGCCACACUGGAACGGAGACACGGUCCAGACGCCUACGGGAGGCAGCAGUAGGGAAUCUUCCGCAAUGGGCGAAAGCCUGACGGAGCAACGCCGCGUGAGUGAUGAAGGUCUUCGGAUCGUAAAGCUCUGUUAUUAGGGAAGAACAAAUGUGUAAGUAACUAUGCACGUCUUGACGGUACCUAAUCAGAAAGCCACGGCUAACUACGUG
rnacentral:rRNA from 1 species